UGGGGAAUAUUGGACAAUGGGCGCAAGCCUGAUCCAGCCAUGCCGCGUGAGUGAUGAAGGCCCUAGGGUUGUAAAGCUCUUUCACCGGUGAAGAUAAUGACGGUAACCGGAGAAGAAGCCCCGGCUAACUUCGUGCCAGCAGCCGCGGUAAUACGAAGGGGGCUAGCGUUGUUCGGAUUUACUGGGCGUAAAGCGCACGUAGGCGGACUUUUAAGUCAGGGGUGAAAUCCCGGGGCUCAACCCCGGAACUGCCUUUGAUACUGGAAGUCUUGAGUAUGGUAGAGGUGAGUGGAAUUCCGAGUAGAGAGGUGAAAUUCGUAGAUAUUCGGAGGAACACCAGUGGCGAAGGCGGCUCACGGGAACAUUACUGACGCUGAGGUGCGAAAGCGUGGGGAGCAAACAGG
rnacentral:rRNA from 1 species